rnacentral:rRNA from 1 species
GGUGAGUAACACGUGGAUAACCUACCUAUAAGACUGGGAUAACUUCGGGAAACCGGAGCUAAUACCAGAUAACAUGUUGAACCGCAUGGUUCAACAGUGAAAGACGGUCUUGCUGUCACUUAUAGAUGGAUCCGCGCCGCAUUAGCUAGUUGGUAAGGUAACGGCUUACCAAGGCAACGAUGCGUAGCCGACCUGAGAGGGUGAUCGGCCACACUAGAACUGAGACACGGUCCAG